GAUGAACGCUAGCGGCAGGCUUAAUACAUGCAAGUCAAGGGGUAGCAAUACAACCGGCGCACGGGUGAGUAACGCGUACACAACAUACCAUAUACUGGAGUAUAGCUUUGGGAAACUGAAGGUAAUCCUCCAUAACAUUGCGAGAGGGCAUCUGAUUGCAAUUAAAGUUCCGACGGUAUAUGAUUGGUGUGCGUUUGAUUAGCUAGUUGGUAGGGUAACGGCCUACCAAGGCGACGAUCAAUAGCUGGCGUGAGAGCGCGACCAGCCACACUGGAACUGAGACACGGUCCAGACUCCUACGGGAGGCAGCAGUAGGGAAUAUUGGACAAUGGGCGAAAGCCUGAUCCAGCCAUGCCGCGUGAUAGAUGAAGGCCCUCUGGGUUGUAAAUAUCUUUUAUCUGGGAAGAAACUCCUCUAUUCUUAGAGGCCUGACGGUACCAGAGGAAUAAGCACCGGCUAACUCCGUGCCAGCAGCCGC
rnacentral:rRNA from 1 species